UACGUAGGGCGCAAGCGUUGUCCGGAAUUAUUGGGCGUAAAGAGCUCGUAGGCGGUUUGUCGCGUCUGCUGUGAAAACUCGAGGCUCAACCUCGGGCUUGCAGUGGGUACGGGCAGACUAGAGUGCGGUAGGGGAGACUGGAAUUCCUGGUGUAGCGGUGGAAUGCGCAGAUAUCAGGAGGAACACCGAUGGCGAAGGCAGGUCUCUGGGCCGCAACUGA
rnacentral:rRNA from 1 species